CCUACGGGAGGCAGCAGUGGGGAAUAUUGGACAAUGGGGGCAACCCUGAUCCAGCCAUGCCGCGUGUGUGAAGAAGGCCCUCGGGUUGUAAAGCACUUUCAGUGAGGAAGAACGCCUGGUGGUUAAUACCCAUCAGGAAAGACAUCACUCACAGAAGAAGCACCGGCUAACUCCGUGCCAGCAGCCGCGGUAAUACGGAGGGUGCGAGCGUUAAUCGGAAUUACUGGGCGUAAAGCGCGCGUAGGUGGCUUGAUAAGCCGGGUGUGAAAGCCCCGGGCUCAACCUGGGAACGGCAUCCGGAACUGUCAAGCUAGAGUGCAGGAGAGGAAGGUAGAAUUCCCGGUGUAGCGGUGAAAUGCGUAGAGAUCGGGAGGAAUACCAGUGGCGAAGGCGGCCUUCUGGACUGACACUGACACUGAGGUGCGAAAGCGUGGGUAGCAAACAGGAUUAGAUACCCGUGUAGUC
rnacentral:rRNA from 1 species